AUUGAACGCUGGCGGCAUGCCUUACACAUGCAAGUCGAACGGCAGCACGGGUGCUUGCACCUGGUGGCGAGUGGUGAACGGGUGAGUAAUACAUCGGAACAUGUCCUGUAGUGGGGGAUAGCCCGGCGAAAGCCGGAUUAAUACCGCAUACGAUCCACGGAUGAAAGCGGGGGACCUUCGGGCCUCGCGCUAUAGGGUUGGCCGAUGGCUGAUUAGCUAGUUGGUGGGGUAAAGGCCUACCAAGGCGACGAUCAGUAGCUGGUCUGAGAGGACGACCAGCCACACUGGGACUGAGACACGGCCCAGACUCCUACGGGAGGCAGCAGUGGGGAAUUUUGGACAAUGGGCGAAAGCCUGAUCCAGCAAUGCCGCGUGUGUGAAGAAGGCCUUCGGGUUGUAAAGCACUUUUGUCCGGAAAGAAAUCCUUGGCUCUAAUACAGUCGGGGGAUGACGGUACCGGAAGAAUAAGCACCGGCUAACUACGUG
rnacentral:rRNA from 1 species